UGAGGAAUAUUGGACAAUGGGCGCAAGCCUGAUCCAGCCAUGCCGCGUGCAGGAAGAAGCAUCUAUGGUGUGUAAACUGCUUUUGUACGGGAAGAAACCACCCCUCGUGAGGGGUAUUGACGGUACCGUAAGAAUAAGGAUCGGCUAACUCCGUGCCAGCAGCCGCGGUAAUACGGAGGAUCCAAGCGUUAUCCGGAAUCAUUGGGUUUAAAGGGUCCGUAGGCGGUUUAAUAAGUCAGUGGUGAAAGCCCAUCGCUCAACGAUGGAACGGCCAUUGAUACUGUUAGACUUGAAUAACAAGGAAGUAACUAGAAUAUGUGGUGUAGCGGUGAAAUGCUUAGAUAUUACAUGGAAUACCAAUUGCGAAGGCAGGUUACUACUUGUGGAUUGACGCUGAUGGACGAAAGCGUGGGGAGCAAACA
rnacentral:rRNA from 1 species